rnacentral:rRNA from 1 species
UACGUAGGGGCCUAGCGUUGUCCGGAAUUAUUGGGCGUAAAGAGCGUGUAGGCGGCCAGAUAAGUCCGCUGUGAAAUCUCGAGGCUCAACUUCGAGCUGUCGGUGGAAACUAUCUGGCUAGAGUCCGGAAGAGGAGAAUGGAAUUCCUGGUGUAGCGGUGAAAUGCGCAGAUAUCAGGAAGAACACCCGUGGCGAAGGCGGUUCUCUGGGCCUUACCUGACGCUGAGGCGCGAAAGCUAGGGGAGCGAACAGG